CUAAUUCAGCUAAUUGUUAUGCAUUGGUUUUAAAAAGUUUGUCCCUGAUAGGGCUUAAUCAUGUCAUGUCUUUUAUGUUAAAAUCUUUGAGUGUAUAGGUCCCGGGGAAAGGGUUGUGCGGAUCUUCAUCUUGGACUGCAGCAAAGGAGUCGUCCAAAAAGUCCACUGGGAAGUUGGAUGAAGAGGGCAUGGAAAUAGCUGUUUGUCGCCACGGAGUCCUCUUAGCUGCAUUGAACAUGUUUCGAGGGGAGAUCUUUGCUUACCCCCUUUUUCUCCAGAGGAAGUUGGCAGCUAACGUCCCAGGACAUAUUACGUUCCUUUGCUCCGAUGUGGCCUGUAAAUAUUUCCCCUAUUUAACCAAGGUGGCUCAGCAGUGCCCUGAGCUGAGGAACCUCUUGUCAAUGCGUCCUUUUCUCUCCGUCAUGCAUGCAAAGGCUCACACUUGGAAAUGCGAGAUCAAAUGGGGAGGUGCGUUUCAGGAUGGGGCCGGUUCAACAGUUGGAGAAGAGGUGGAACAAGUAAACAGUUUCCUGUCUAGGGCGGCCAUCACAACGAAGUACAUGUCUAAAGCAGGGCAAACAGACAUGCUGACCCUCCUGGCUUUGGGUUGGAACAAAAGGAAAGUGGAACAACUGGGCCGCACUUUGAGCCAGAGAUAUCUCAAGAUCAUAAGGAUCCUUAGAGAACAAGUGGAGAGCCUGAAUGUGACCAAAAAUGAGCUGGGUGUGGAUGACGACACACUGCAGCAAUGGGUGGCCGAUGUGCAGAAAUGGGCUGAAGAAACUGAUCAAACUGAUGGCAGCCUUGGAGCGUUGCAGGCACGAAUAGAGGAGCUUGUCGUCAUCAUCAGAGUGCGAACACAAAGUCUUUACAGACAAAAUGAUAGCAACAAGAGGCGACACAGAAUUCGCAAGGUCAUCUUAGUUGAGAAGAAACGCUUGGCGGCUGCUGUUGACGACUACAACAAGCUUGCUGAACCAACAAAGCAAAUCGUAUCCAGUGAUGCCCUCAUCCAGACCGAUAUUUGGCCCUGGCAGAGCACAAGUGAACCUGCUGCUGAACUCCAGACAAAGAGAAAGGUCUUUGAGAAGGUGAUGGCUGUGAGGCGCCUGAGAGAGGAGGAGAUGAUCCUUUGCAGGGAGAUGCGGCAUCACUGGACAGUGUUGCGAAUGCGAUCUGUGGUGUUGGGGACAAUCUCCUCAGACUCCUCCCUUGUUGGCAUGUCGGAGGAUGCACAGAAGGGACUCCGUAGCCUGGUUUUAAAAAAACAAAGUGAACUGAAAGCUGAAAUGCUCAAAGUAAAGGACAUGUACAAGAGAAUCCUCAGCCACCAACCACUCCUGGAAAUGGACUCGGAGGAGGAGGAGGACAUUCCAGACGAUGCCACUGAGAGUGAUUUGAGCACUUCUGAUGAAGACUGAUUGUGUCAUCCUUGAUGUUAUUUUUGGUAAAAUAAAAAGUUAAUCACA
ensembl:lncRNA